UGAGAUUAGUUGUUCUUACUCCCUUUUGUUUAUUCAAUGUGCCCAACUUUCUUUCUGUUUAAUCUUCAUUAUUCAUCCAACAACCUUUUAGGCAAAUUGUCAUAUCUGAUAUCUCCACUCUCGUGUUACUAUUUUAAAAAAACUCUUUUUCUCUUCUUCAACUUUUUCUUCCACUGUAAAUAGUAGUAAUCAUAUAUACUAUUAAAAAGUUUAAGUCAUCUUGGGAAAUGUAACCAACUGGGUUAUCUUCAUUUUUUAUUGCUCUUUUUUUUUUCUCUGUUUCUUUUCUUUCCUUUAAUGAUUGAGUUCUUUAUUUUGGACUUUCCACAAGUACAAGAAACGGACAGAGAUUGUCAUUUUAACAUGAAAAGGUGAAUUUGGUAAUAGCAGGAAAUGUAAGAAUACCAAAUUAUUCAGACCAAAGCACAUGCUCCCCUUAUUCGUUUCUUCUUAUUUCUCAUAUUUGGUUCCAUUUUUCAAAGCUUCUUUUUGUCUUUAUUCUGAAUUGUUUAUUCUUCGGGUCUUUUAGUGUGUGAUCCAAUGGAUUAAUGAGGCUGCCCAUGCCAGCUGCCAAGCCAUGGCGUGCUUAAAUUUUUUGUCUUGAUGUGGUAGCUUUGUGAUAAUUGAAGUUCCAGUCUCCUUUGUGUUUUGGGAAUUUAAUGGGUGAACCAAGAGUAGAAGCUUCAAGUAAAGAAGUUAAGAUUGGGGAGAUGGCUUCUUCAAACCCUGCUCUCGAAGUGUCAGUCUCGUUUGGGAGAUUUGCGAAUGAUUCACUUUCUUGGGAGAAAUGGUCAUCUUUCUCGCCAAACAAGUACUUGGAGGAGGUCGAGAAGUGUGCAACCCCCGGAUCAGUAGCUAAGAAAAAAGCUUACUUUGAAGAACAUUACAAGAAGAUUGCUGCAAGAAAAGCUGAGCUACUGGCUCAAGAGAAGACAUUGGAAAGUAAAUCCCUCAACUCAGAUGAUCAGAACUGUGGAGAUCUGGUUGGUAAAUCUAAUGGUCAGUGCUCUGAUGAAGGAGAUAAGCAAGAAGAAACUAAAUUGGUAAUUGAGGUGAAUGACAUCCAUUAUGAUGAGCCGAAUGAGGAGCCUGAAAUUACUAUUGAUUGUCAAAACCCAUCGGUUGAGGGAGUGAAAGAGAAAAUAGAUAGCAGAGUGGAGGGUCAAGUAAAAGAGGAAAUAGAUAGUAGCACACUGGAAAGUCCAAAGUUAAACAAACCGGAAGAAACUGCUGCAGAUGAAGCCGUUUUGGCAAAACCAGAUGCGGAAAUUCUUUCCAAGCGGUCUCAAGAUGUGAAGGAGUUAGCUCAGAUAUCAGAAAAAGACAUAGAAAACGCUCCAAAGAUCAAAGACAAAAUGUUAAAGUUGGGUCAUUCAGUAAAAUCUUAUAAGAUUACACCAGUGAAUAAGGAGAAAAAUGAGACUAGGAUAAAGAAGAAACCUGCAUCCUCUGUGACUAAGACACCACAAUUUUCUACACCAAGGGCAUCAAAGCCAACAUCAACUCCUAAUACAUUGCCUGCAUCAAGAACUCCAAAAAUGGGAAAUACUUUAUCUUAUUCUUUACCAAAGACCAAGAAUCCUUCUGUGAUAGAAAGCAAGAAAGCGGCUGCUAGAUCCUUGCACAUGUCCCUUAGUUUAGGUCCCUCAGGUUCCGGCCCAGUUUCCCUUGCGGCAACAAGAAAAUCUUUAAUUAUGGAGAAAAUGGGAGAUAAGGAAAUUGUCAAACGAGCAUUUAAGACAUUUCAAAAUAAUUAUAACCAAUUGAAACCUUACAGGCUGGAACAAUCUCCAGCAACAAAACAGGUGCUUGCAAAGGGGAGAGAACCAAGGGUUUCCACUCUGACAACUCCACAAAAGGAGAAUGGAGGGCCUUCUAGAGUUAGUGGCAUGGAGAAAAAAAAUGCUAAGGCUCCUCCAUCUUAUUUUGGCUUGAAAAGUGAUGAAAGGGCAGAGAGAAGAAAGGAGUUCUCGAAGAAAUUGGAAGAAAAAUCCAAUAGUAGAGAAGCAGAGAGAAAAUAUCUCGAGACAAAACUGAAGGAUAACAGAGAUGCAGAGAUCAAAAAGUUAAGGCAGAGCCUUAAUUAUAAAGCUACACCCCUACCUGGAUUUUAUCAUGGACAGAGAACAUCAGAAAGCCCUCUUGAUAAGAUAGGUACCAAGAGUGACAUCCAUUGGUAACCUGGCUUCCUUGGGUCAAUGAACCCCGCAUCAUCUACAACUACUGAAGAAAAAUCAAGAUGGUUUAAUAUGAAAAACGGUUGGAAAAGAGACAUAAGAAAUACAUCAGCUUUGGAGGCUAACUACGUCGCUGCACAAGGAAAGGCCAGAAAGAAGUUGGAACGAAAUUGGGAGACCUUGUUGGAAGCUGAAGUGCUAUUAAGGAAUUGUCUGACAUCAAUAUCACUCUCAUUUCUGUUGAAAGGCCCGUUUUGCAGCCCAUCUCAAAGCUUUCCAAGUCACAGACAAAUUAGUGCGGGGCUUGGAAGAAUUUCCUUGGUUGAGGUAUUCGCCCGUAAAGUCCUAAACCACAAUAAAGGCAUUGUCCUGUUUACUAACCCUUCUUUUAUGUAUCGGAAAACCAAGAUAUUUUUCAAAUCAUCGGUUUCUCGAAUCCCCAAAGAAUUCACAAGAUCAUGUCUCUGAUUUUGGUUUGCGUCUGGUGAAAAGAAAACCCUUGAUUUUUCGAGGUUUACUUCUGCCCUUAAUCUAGACAGCAGCUGGUCAACACAGCAUUCAUUGUUUUUAACCCGUAUCUGUGAUUGCAGUUUAGUCUUUAGUUAUUAAAUGUGGAUAAAAAGAGCCACUUAAUGCUUAUUUAUGUACCGAAUCCUGCUUGACAAUUGAGAUUGAAUCAACCAUAGUUUCAGCAACAACCUCUAUUUCUCAUUGUUUGAGAGUGUUAGGCUAUGAUUUUUUAAUAGGAUCUAGUGUUGAGAACAUCAAUCAAUCAAACUUGCAAAUUGCAAUCUUGCUUAACAGCUGAGAUUAUCUCGAGCUUGUUUCCAGUUCCAACUUUCAAGAUCAACCUAGAAUUUAUGCCUGGGAUCUCAACUAAGCAUCAACAGCCCGACCAUCGAAACAGUCUGUUUAACAAUCAAAAUCUGAAGUCACAGAUCUUCCUUUUCUUUUUUGUUUGAGCCAAAGUUAAUCUAUUUUAACAGCCUCUCUGAAGUCAUAUUCCGCCAACAUAUGUGUGUUUUGUUAAAAAAAAUUAAGAUCAGGUCGAGUUAUUUUUUAAAUGAAGUUGAAUUGGAGAGAUGAAUUUACGGUAUUUUGUCCCAUCUCG